AUGCCAUAUAUUCGGCCACAAGAUGACACGAACCAAAAUUCAAUACAUACUCCUGCAUUGCAAGGAAACCAAGCCUCUGUCGAACAUAUAGAUGACAAUGAGGAUAACCCAGAUGACGAAUUUGGUGACAAUGAGGUCAAUGCAAAACAAUCCAGAAAAUUUGUUAGUACUAGGGAGUACUACUGCUUCAAGCUGCAAGUCAGGAGGAAGCUUUUUAACAUCAUCUUGUUCGGUCAUCGCCUUUUCCAACAGUGGGCUGUUGACAUGUAUAUCAAGAUUGAAACUAUGCGACUUGAUUGGUACUCAAAGCCGGAAAAUCAAAAGGUUAUACGCGCUGACCUCUACCAGGGUCUUGUUGACACCGUCGUUGUCGGCGAGUCACGCGGAGAUCGAAUUGGGAAAAGAAUUGUGCUUCCACGUACAUUUCCUGGUGGUGAUCGCGACAUGCAACGGAGGUUCUUGGAUGCUAUGGCAAUAGUGCAGCGGUGGGGUAAACCGGAUUAUUUUAUCACGAUGACGUGCAACCCAUAUUGGGAGGAGAUAACCGAUAAGUUGUUGCCUGGACAGCUGCCGCAGGACCGUCCAGACCUGGUGGCAAGAGUAUACAAGGCUAAACAGUGA
rnacentral:rRNA from 1 species